GCCGGGCGCGGUGGCUCACGCCUGUAAUCCUAACACUCUGGGAGGCCGAGGCGGGAGGAUCGCUCGAGGUCAGGAGUUUGAGACCAGCCUGAGCAAGAGCAAGACCCCGUCUCUACUAAAAAUAGAAAGAAAUUAGCUAGACAACUAAAAAUAUAUAGAAAAAGUUAGCUGGGCAUGGUGGUGCAUGCCUGUAGUCCCAGCUGUUUGGGAGACUGAGGCGGGCGGAUUGCUCAAGGUCAGGAUGUCGAAACCAGCCUGAGCAAGAGUGAGACCCCGUCUCU
rnacentral:sRNA from 1 species